AGUUGAUCAUGGCUCAGGAUGAACGCUAGCGACAGGCUUAACACAUGCAAGUCGAGGGGCAGCAUAAAAGUAGCAAUACUUGGUGGCGACCGGCGCACGGGUGAGUAACGCGUAUGCAACCUACCUAUCAGAGGGGAAUAACCCGGCGAAAGUCGGACUAAUACCGCAUAAAACAGGGACACCGCAUGGUGAUAUUUGUUAAAGAAAUUCGCUGAUAGAUGGGCAUGCGUUCCAUUAGGUAGUUGGUGAGGUAACGGCUCACCAAGCCGACGAUGGAUAGGGGAACUGAGAGGUUGGUCCCCCACACUGGUACUGAGACACGGACCAGACUCCUACGGGAGGCAGCAGUGAGGAAUAUUGGUCAAUGGGCGAGAGCCUGAACCAGCCAAGUCGCGUGAAGGAAAAGAAGGAUCUAUGGUUCGUAAACUUCUUUUGCAGGGGAAUAAAGUGCAGGACGUGUCCUGUUUUGUAUGUACCCUGAGAAUAAGGAUCGGCUAACUCCGUGCCAGCAGCAGC
rnacentral:rRNA from 1 species